GGAAAUGGAGUAAUACAUUGGAGUAAAACUUAACUUACUCUAUUUUGGAGUAGAAAAUGGAGUAAUACAUUGGAGAUGCUAUUAGCAAUGUGUAAUAUACGCAUAGAAUGUAACUGGAUUGUAUUAUUAGAGUCAAGGGUGAUCCUGAGCGAAUCGAACAUAGAGCCUCCAAAUUUUUUAAAAAAAUCUACAUACAAAAUUCCUUCAAAUUUGUAAAAUAAUUUUUUUUAGAAAACCUUCAUUAAAUUAACGAUAUCUCUCUCUCUUCUCUCCCUGCGACUCAUCUUCCUCAAGCUUCUGUUUUCUUGAUUCCGGUGACCGGCGCGUGGUGGCUCCUUUAGCACCACCGCCGGUCGGAUCUACUAUAUUUUCUCUGUAUGUUUGCUCUGUUGCUUUAAGUCUUGUUUCUUAGUCUAGAGGGUUUCAGAUCUGGUUGAAAUCUUCGAUUUUAUGGAUUGAAGUGGAGAGUUUCAAAUCGGAAUCUAUGGCCGUCAAUCUCGUCAGAUCUACAGCAUAUGGCGGUGGAUUUUUGGUUACCGGCUGUUUUGAUUAAGAGCGUGUCCAGCAGGGAUUGGUUAGCUUUGCCGUGGUGGUGAGAUGCGUAGAUGGCGCAUAGUGAGCUUUUUCAGAGUCCAAUAGUGAGUUUGAGUUGGAUCUGGAAGGAGUCAGUGGAGAAGAGGCGUGUAGAAGGCGCGUGGUAUCCUUUCUUCAUAGUCCAAUGGCGAGUUUAGUUGGUUUUGAAGAGGGGUCGGUGAAGCAAAGGAACAUUGGAAGCUCAAUCUACAGCAACGGUUAUACAUAACCUAUCGGGCCGGUUUUGUUCUCUCUAUGGCUGGAUUUUGAGUCUCGUCUAGGAUGUUUAGUUUCUUGUCUUUGUUGUGUAGUCUUUGCUAAGUUUGCUUGUUAGUUUAAGUGUUUCGUAUUGUGCUUUUGUCUCCAAGAUUGUCUCUUGGCAAUCGAUGGCUUUGGGCCUCGGGGUUGUAUCUUUUAACCGUCGGCUUUGGUUUUCUGGUGUCGUCCUAUACGACAGCCCAGCUUCAGUGUAACAGGCCUUGUACCAUCCAGUUGAAAAUCAAUAUAAACAACAGAUGACAAAAAAAAAAGAAAAAAAAAAAAAAACUCUGCUCUGGUUACUAUUUAAAUGGAAGAAAACAUAGACGCAUCUUUAUUUUACAUUUUGCUAGAGUAAAAGUGUUUCUUUUUUUCCACCAGUUUUUCCACUUUUUUCUUUUACUAUAGUUUAUUCUAAAAUUACCUAUCAAAUCUAUAAAAUCGAAAAUAAGUAAAAAACACAAGUAAAGAUCUAUUUGUAAAGAUUUUAUUGGAAGCUUUGUCAAUUUGUUACAAAAAUGGAAAAAAAAUCUUUUUAUACAUAGUAUAUGAUGAAUUGUGACAAACUGAUGGAUUACAUUAUAUUAUUAUAUUUAUCAAAUAAAUAGUAUAGAAAAUUGAUCUCUCGAUAGCAUAACAAUAAACAUAACCGACUACUAAACAUUUACAUUUCUAUUCCACAAUUUUAUAAUAGAAUGAAACAUAACAGAUAAUAUAUUACAAUGUUUGUUUUUAAGUGCAAAAGAGUUUAGGAGGAAACAGGGUAGACGUUAUCCCCUGUUCGUUUCGGGUCGCUAGCGGCAGCGACCAGUCCUAGCGACUAAACGUUGUUCGUUUGGUGGUCGCCGGUUCUGCGACUGAUCGCUGCGACCAGACGCCAGCGUUCGGCGUUCAGAAAUUUCGAUCGCUGAAAAUUUCAGCGUUGCGAUCGAAAACCAACGAUCAAAAAAAUAAAAUAGUGUAAAAAGACAAAAAUACCCUUGAUUUAUUUUCAAAAUCACAAAACAAUGUCCUUAACCCUAGAUCUCUUUACGCCUUUCUUCAUUACGCUUCUUCAUCGUCUCUCCUCCUCAGCUCUCUCACGCAGGCUACCAUCAAAGCUCAAAGGUCAGUUCUCUCUCUCUCUCUCUCUCUCUCUCUCUCUCUCUCUCUCUCUCUCUCUGUGAUUCGAAAUCCUUCUUUAAAACUUUCAGAAAGUUCUAAAUUUUUCCUUUCACUUGAGAGAUUUAGAAGGGUUUAUUGCUAGUGAAAUCAGUGAGAUGGGCAUGUUUUAAAACGUACUCUUGCUGCUUUUUUCAUGCUCUGGUGUUCUACAAUAUGAUUCUCUAUUUUUCUUACAUGAUUUAUGCGGUUGUGUUGCUGACAGGUCGAGAUUGCUCAAUCUUAUGAAAGAGGUGGUGCAGCUGUCUCAGUGUUUUGACUGACCAGAAGUAUUUCAAGGUUCACUUGUUGUGUAUACACGUUUGCAGAUAUCUCAUACACAUUUUCCAUGUAUUUUUUUCUAACAUUUAUUAGUUCUUAUCUUGGUUUGGUACAACAUGAAGGCUUUGAAAACUUGGAAGCAAUAAGAAGCGCUGGUGUUAAGGUAAUUCUCUUAGCAAAGUCUCAUUUUUUCUUUUGUUGUUUUAAUGAUGAAGAUCAAUUGUUCUGCUUUCUUAAUGACAGUGUUGACAUUUUACAGAUUUGGACAUAAACCACAACUAGACAGAAAGAAUGGCUAAUGAUGUAAGUUUCUAAUUCAGCUCUUGUUUAUUAAAUGUUUUGUGAUUGUUUUUUUCUGCUAGUUUAGUUUGUUUGUCUAUUAAUGAGACUUGCUAUUUAGACCUGGACCGACGAAGAAUGUCGGUAUUUUCUUACUCUUUAUGCUGAAGUAAAAAAGAAAGGGAACAGGCCAAGGACUGGCAUGAAUUCAGUUGGAAGAGAGUUCAUCCCUAGGAAGUUUGAAGAGAGAUUUAGUAAGAAAUGGAUAUGGGACAGGUUUAAGAACAAGGUUGAUGUUUGUAGAAAAGCAUAUGUCAAGUUUAAGAAGCUGACUCACAACAGAACCGGACUUGUCUAUGAUGCUAUGGGACGGUUGGAGAUGCCAGAUGCUUGGUGGGAUCAACGCAUAGCGGUAAAUAACUUUGUUCUUGAUUUUUGUUUUUUUUUUCUGUUUAGAACUUGAGUAUGCAUUGUUCUCUUAGUCUUAUUGCUUUAAUAAUGUGAGUAUAUUAGCUUGAAAUGUCUUUGUUUGAGAAUGUUUAGUGUUUGAGAAUGUAGUAUGCGAGUAUUUAUAAUGAGACUGGUUUGAGAAUGUUGUAUGAUUAGUAAUAACGUGAGUUUUCAAGUGAAUUAAUUUUUUUAUGUUCUUAAACAGGAAUGGCCAGGUGCAAGAAAGUAUAAGAACAAAGUACCUCCAAACAUGGAUAUGUUUGAAGCAGAGUUUGGUGCUGUUAGUGUGACUGGAGCAGAAGGAUGGUGUGCUCAGCAAGGAGAAGCUAGCUUAGAUUCUAGAAUGGAUGCAGAAAAGGAAGAUGAAUCAGAUUCUGCUGACACAGAUAUGCCAGCACCAAGAGAAGGAUCAAGUAGAGCUGGAUGUUCAAAGUCAAAAAGAAAGCGUAAAGAAGUUGAUCAAGAGCCUUAUGUUGUACGAAAUGCAAUUCUGGCAGAAAAAAAAUAAGAUAGCUGAAAGGAUGUUAGAGAUAAUGGCAGAGGAUCGUGUGGUGUUGCAACAGGAUCGUAAGUUCUGUUUAGACAAAGUAUUGGAGAUACUUAAUGAGCUGCCUGGAGUGAUUAAGUGGUCACCAUUUCACAUUGCUGCUGUUAGCCAUCUCAAAGCUGAUGAAGGAAACAGACUGGCCUUUAUAUCUUUCCCUAGUGAUGAUGAUAGGAUUAGCUACCUUGAGCAUAUGAUUGGAAUUAAGAUUUAUGGAGGAUUGUAGUAUGACUUUUGUUUCAGUUUUUUGUUACGACUCAGAUUGUAACAAUUGUUAAGCGAAUGAAUAUUUUUUGUUAUGACUUUUGUAGCUCAUAUUCACAACUUAUAUAUAUAUGAUUUUAAUUACUUGCAGAUGGUUAGGUGGUACUUGGAUGAUGAUGAUGAUGAUUAUGAUGAUGAGGAUGAAUAUGAGGACGAUGUGCUUAAGCCAGAGAGAUUGCUUCAAAGAACAGAUUGAGGUGCUGGAUGGCAUCAUGUUCAGCAGCUUAUGCACGGGUCAGAUCAACAGUGUUAUGAUAUUCUUCGCAUGAAUCAGAGGACAUUUCAAGAUUUGUGUAAGAUGUUAGCGACGAGAUGUGGGUUAAAAGAGAUGAACAAUGUCUAUAUUGAAGAAGGGGUUGCAAUGUUACUUGAAGUGGUGGGUCAAGAUAAGACGGUACGGGUUAUUGCAGAAAGAUAUCAGCGUUCGUUGGAUACGGUCAAAAGGAAACUUGAAGAGGUUUUGAGUGUUCUCUUGAAAUUUGCUGCAGAUGUACUAAAACCAGAAGAUGGUGAGUUCACAAGAGUAUGUCCUGCUUUGAGAGAUGAUGAUCGAUACUGGCCAUGUUUUAAAGAUUGUAUUGGGGCAUUGGAUGGAACUCAUAUCUCAGUUCGCCCUCCUAAGCGAAAUGCAGAAGCAUACCGAGGUAGAAAACAGGAGCCGACCAUGAAUGUCUUUGCUAUAUGUAACUUUGAUAUGAAGUUCAUAUAUGCUUAUGUGGGUGUACCGGAUAGAGCACAUGACACAAAGGUAUUGACUUACUGUGCGAGGAACGAGCCCUUUUUUCCACAUCCGCCAAAUGGAAAGUACUAUUUGGUUGAUGCGGGAUAUCCCACAAGAAUAGGGUAUCUUGGUCCGUAUCGCAGAGUUCGGUACCAUCUCGAUCAGUUCAACAGAGGAGGACCGCCAACGAACAGUCGAGAGGUGUUUAACCGGAGACAUUCAAGCUUGCGAUCAGUGAUUGAACGGACAUUUGGAGUAUGGAAAGCAAAAUGGAGAAUUCUUGACCGUAGGCAUCCAAAGUAUGGUUUGAUCAAAUGGAUAAAGCUAGUAACAGCAACGAUGGCUCUACACAACUUCAUACGUGAUUCACAUUGAGAAGAUAAUGAUUUUGUGCGUUGGCAGAGAAGAGAAGAAUAUCAUACACAUGGUGAUAAUGAUGAAGAAGAAAAAGAUGAAGAUGAAGAAGAAGAAGAAGAAGAAGAUGGUGAUGAUCAUGGUGGACAUAUUCCAUAUGAGCCUACUGGUGAUAGAGUCAUGGAAGGUUCACGUGAUCAUAUUACUAGUGAGUUGAGUAGAGGAUAUCGAUUACCUUAUUAGUUUAUUUGAUUUGGAUUUGUACUGAUUUUUAUUUAUUAGUUUCAUAACAUUUGACUUUAAAUUUUAAAACAUUUAUUUUAUUUUUAGUUUAUUAAUAUAGUUUUAGGUACAAGAUACAAUAUAAAUUAAAAAUAAAAAAUUGAGUUACAAAACCAAAAUUUUGAAAAAUAUAAAUAACUCUAAUCAUAUUUUUUGGUCGCAAGCGAUAUCAAAACGAACAAAACAGCGGUCGCUGCGAUCAGCCGCUGCGAUCAACCGCGCGGCAUGGAAACGAACAACUCAGCGACAACCGUUGCGAUCAAACGCGCGACCUUGAAACGAACAACUACCAGCGGCAUCAAGUCGCAGCCGCUAGUCGCCGAAUCUGGUCGCUGACGCUGGCGACCGCCAAACGAACAGGGCCAUAAUCAUUCCCUACANNNNNNNNNNNNNNNNNNNNNNNNNNNNNNNNNNNNNNNNNNNNNNNNNNNNNNNNNNNNNNNNNNNNNNNNNNNNNNNNNNNNNNNNUCCCUACACUGAAUCAGGAAGAGAAAGAGAGAAAGACGGUGAUGAGGAUGAAGAGAAGUGGAAUGAUGAUGAAGACAAUUAGGAGCAGUGAAAACAUAUUUAUUGGAGGUUUUUAGGGUGGGGUUCUUAUAUUACUCUAAGAACCUCAUCAUAAGAACCUCCAAUAAACAUGGUCUGAGAGAGAGGACGAGGAGAAGAGAGAAAAGGAAGGAGAAAAAAGAUAAAAAUGGAGGAGUACAAUACUAUAUAAUGUACAAAAGUAUACAUGUCUGUCUACAUAUUAUUGUUGGAAGCGAACAAAAAUAAAAUAUUAAAGAAAUUGUAUUUACACUGAGUCUGUUUUAAGAGAUUCUAUGUUGGAGCAGAAUUUAUUUCACAAAUCCGGUUUAUAAAAGCGUCAAUCAAAACAUGUUAAACGCCAAUAGAGACAUGAUUAACGAGCAAAAUCCAGAUAUUCCGGUCCAAAUUGUUGGCUUGUAGACUGGGAUAGCAAGCUCCGAGUCUAUGGAUAAUAAAAUAACUAAGACUUGGAGCAAUGCAUAUAUCACGUGCACUCUAAAUACGCGAAGUAAUUGGAGCGAACUGAUCAGUAUAAAAGACAAGUCAAGACCAUUAUUUGAUAUACACUUUUGGACUUACUUUUGAGACAUAUAAUACUUUCUUCGAGAUGUAUUGUCUUGUGUUGAGUCUUUGUCGAAAAUAUUAGUCCAAUUUGAACAAAUUAUCUUAAAAAUCUACUCAUAACUUUUUUUUCUCGCUGUUUCUUUAAACGUUACUUUAUUCACAUUAGAAUUUUGAUUGCGACUUUUAACUCCCACAAUUUAACACCAUUAGAGUCCCACAUUACUUUUUUAUGACAGUUACUUUCUUAAUUUAAGUUUUUUGUACCGAUCAUUAGGUCUAAUUUCCCUAAACCAUAUGUAUAGAAAGUUUAUGUUCCCUUUUAUUUCUCUAUCAAAGAGAAGAAAUGGUGUUCCAGCAAGAAAAGGAGAAGAACAUAUGUUUUGUUCCCAGCCCAAAACUCUUUGGUUCGAACUUGCAAAUAUAGAAACACAAUCGUAACUGUUACAACAUGGAUGAUAUGAAAGAACAAAACCAAAGGUACAUGAACCAUUUCAAGUUAUCACAACAACUCUCAAGAAAAGAAAACAUAAAAGAUUAAAGUCCAGUUCCACAUAAAGCUUCUCUGUGGAUAUUGUUAAGCCAGUUUGUUUUUUUCAGACGCUUCCAAACUAUUCAUGUUUCACCUUCUUGCUCUCCCUUUCCCAGUCCCUCUGCGUCUUUAAUCUGAUUCACAAUUUCUGCCUUUUUCUCCAUUAGAGCUCCUAUUUUUUCAUCAAUCUUCUUUAGUUUCAUUUUCAGCUUACCAAUGUCAUUACCCUUCUUCUUGGUAUCAUCAAGCUUCUUCACACCUUUUCCUUUCUUUUCUUCCUUUUUCUCUGUUUCUUCAUCACCAUCUUCAUCUUUUGACCCUGCUAUGUUCUUCUCUUCUUCAUCCUUUGUUUUUUUCUUUUCCUUUGGGUCUUUUUUCUUGUUCUUCUCUUUGUCUUUCUUCUUACUUUUCUUCUCUUCUUCACCCUUCCGGCCUUCUUCUUUAUUUUGGUUCUCUUCUUCACUACCAUUAUCUCCCUCGGUGUCUUUUCUAUUCUUAGUUUUCUUGUCCUUGGACUUGCCUUCCUCUCCUUCAGCUCCUGGUUCUUCAAAUUUAAUAUCUCUGGACAACACUUCAACUUCAAGGUUUUUCUCAUUCUUCUUAUCUUCUUUGUUAUCUUUUUCGCCUUUCUCUUUCUUCUUUUUCUGCUUCUUUUCUCCUUCAUCCUCAUCGUCUGCUUCUUUCUCACAUUUCUCAUCAGUUUCCUUUUUCUUCUCCUUAUCUUUACUCUUCUUCUUUUCCUCCUUGUGAUCUUCUUUCAUCUCUUUUUUCUUUUCUCCUUCUUCUUCUUCAUGUUCAUCAUUCUCUCCUUUUUUCAGCUUCUUUUCUUGCUUAUCUUUGGAUUCUUCUUUUAGUUUCUUCUCUUUGUCUUUUCCGUCUGCACAUGAUUCAUCCUUCUCUUUUUUUUCCCCUUCUUCUUCUUCUUCAUGCUCAUCAUUUUCUCCUUUUUUCAGUUUCUUUUCUUUCUUAUCUUUGGAUUCUUCUUUCGGCUUCUUCUCUUUAUCUUUCUUCUUGUCUUUUCCGUCUGCACCUGAUUCAUCCUUCUCUUUCUUCUUCUUUUUAUUACCUUCUUCUUCUUCUUGUGAUACAUCUUCAUCUUUCUUCUCCUUAUCUUUCUUUUUCUUCUUGUGUUCCUUCUCUGUGUCUUCAACUUUUACAUCAGAAUCUUUCUUCUCUUUUUUCUUCUUAACUUCGGUUUUUUCCUCAGGCUCAUCCUUCUCUUCCUUUCUCUUCUUCUUGUCACCCUUGGAAUCUUCUUUCGUUUUCUUCUCUUUACUCACCUUGUUCUUACCUUCUUUGUCAUCUUCUAACUCCUCAUUUCCUUGUGAUACAUCCUCAUCUUUCUUCUCCUUAUUUUUAGUUUUCUUCUUUUGUUUCUUAUCAUGCUCUUCAGUUUCCAUAUCUCCAUGGCCUUCUUCAUCUUUCCCAUGUUUCCUUGAAACACGUUUUUCAUCUUUCUUCUCGGCAUGUUUGUCUUCUUCUACCUCAUCUUUUACCUUUGUCUUUUCUUUCUCCUUUUCGUCUUUUGAUUUCUCGUCGUCCUUUAUUUUAACCUUCUCAGUUGACUUGGCCUUAACUUCCAUCUCCACCUCAACCUUCUCUCCCUUCUCAUUUGGAUCCACUUCCUGUGUCUUCAUUGUUAUAUGAAGUUUCUCUUUCUUGACAUUUUCUUGGUUCGAUGACAUGGUUCCCUGAUAGAGAAAGAAGAAAUAAAUAUUUGUUAUAAUAAAAGAAGAGCUACAACGACUAGUUGAUAUUGGCUAGUUGAUCAACACUUAUUAUCGACAUAUAGCUCAUCCAAAAUUUAGAUAACUGAAAUUUCACGAUAUGCUUUUUUUUUUUUGUUGUGUUUGAUAUAUAUAUAUAUAGAUAUAUGUAUGGUGUGACACCAAUAUUCAGAGUAGUUCGUCAGAUACAUAAGAAAAAAAUAUACCAAGUAAAGAGCAGCAAAUUCAUAAGAAACCAAAAUUGCAGAUCUAUUGAAGAAACUAGAGAUCCAUGGAAUACAUUAAAACAAAAAUGAACUUAGGUACCUUAUAAUUUUCUUUGUUCUCUGUGUUGUGAAAGACGAUCGAAUUGAUCUGUAUUGGAUCUGAGAUGGGUUUUAGGUGGUAUAAAAGGAAUGAGUCACACGGAGGUGACGGUGUACCCUACGCGUUGGGUGUAACACGUCUUUCAUUUUUGGUCAUGGGGUCCCACUAACACUUUUUGGGCUGUCCUACUUUAUCAACCUUUCACAUUUGUCUCAUAAAAUAACGUUUGACAUCAAAAUGCCUAACAGAGAAUUUGUCCCUCUCGGACAGCUAUGAUCAAUGAUAGAGAUUUAUAGAUGCACGGAUGUGCGGAGUAUAGAUUAGCAGGGGCGAAUCUAGACUCUUUUUGUAUUGGGUGCACCAAUGAUAAAAAAAGAAAAAUACAAGCAGAAAGAGAGUCGAAUCAUAUGCUUUGCCGUUUGAAAUUGCUAGUUGUCUAUGAUUGAGAUUCAAAAAGAUUAUCAUCCCAAUUUAUUUUCAAGACUUGGAUAAUAAUACAGUUAACUGACUUGUACAAGUUAGGGUUGCCAAAUUAUUAUUUUUGCUUGAUGCUUAACAAGGGAUUCUUGAUUGAAGAUAAUUAACAGUGCUCUCGAAUCAUUUAUCAUUUUUCAGUGGUCAUCUCCUCAUGCGGAAUUGGUAACUGGAUCACUUUGUCCUUGAAUCCUCUGUUCUUUGGAGAUCGCCGUGGUGUUGAAUCUCUGAAACAGCCAACUGCAUACAUUAACAAAACUGAUGUAAGAAAUCCACAAGAACUACCUAUGACUACAGCUUCCCAUGGAACUGUUGCUUCUUUCUCCUCGUCAUCUUCUUCUUUUGGCUGCUGCUCUGUCCGUGUUGUGGAGCAUGAUACUUGAAUUUGCAUUCCACAGAUUUUGCUGUUGUUCGCUUAAAUGUUUGGAUCGUUUAAUCUGUCAAGCUGAGAGCUCCCAGGGAUUCUACCUGAAAGAUUGUUGUUGCUCAAAUCCAAAACAUCCAGCUCGCUGAGCCUGGACAACGUUUGCGGGAUUUUUCCCGAGAGGUUGUUGUACGAAACGUCUAAGAUCUCUAGCUUCUCGAGACCUCCAAAACUUUGUGGGAUCGAUCCAGAGAUGUCGUUGUGUGAGAGGUUCAAAAGCUUCAGGCUCUUGAGAUUGCCUAAAGAAGUUGGGAUUUCUCCGCGUAGCUUGUUCUUGGAGAGGUCUAAGACAGUGUAGAGGUAAAAGUUUCUGUUGGAAAUAACUUGCUUUACUCUCUUCCAAAUCACUUCCAAGUCUUGUGAUUCGGUCUCUGAUAAGUCGGUUAUUUCGGAAAUGAAGCUAGAAACAAUUGAAGAUGAGCUCGUGGGAGAUUCUACCAUGCCUGUGAGAUUGCCAAGAUUUCCAUCGAGGCUGUUCUCAAAGAGAUCUAAGACCUUGAGACUUGUGAGAGUUGAUAUGUCUUCUGUGAUUGAACCUUUGAGGGAAUUGUUUCUUAAGAACCUCAAGAGAUUGAGAUAGCCUGGAGAUAAAGCUAGGGAACAUACCCGCGAUUUUGUUGUCAUGAAGGUCAAGAUGCUUUAGAAAUGAGAGUUUUGUGAAUUCGCCGCUGAAAUUGUUCCUACUCAUGGUUAGACUUACGGUGUUUAACCCGAAAGAAGCUGGAACAUCUCCAGAGAACUCGUUCGAAGAUAUGUCGAGCAAUGCAAGCAAUGAAUCUUGGGAAUUCGCCUGAUAACUUGUUCUUUGACAAGUCCAGCCACAGCAGCCUGUAAAUAUUUGCUAUAGACUUUGGUACUGAUCCUGAGAAGUUGUUUUCAGACAGCUUCAGUAUCAUAAGUGAUGUUUCUCCAACGGUGUUAGGGAUAUGACCAGAGAAGUUGUUUCUUGAUAGCGCAAGAACGAAUAACCUCAGAGACUGAAACAAACUAGGAGGCAGUGAACCUGAGAGUCUGUUGUCUGACAAGAUUAUAUUUCCCAUUUUCAGAUCAGCCAGCCAUUUGGGGAAGCUUCCUUCGAGUCUAUUCAAGCUCAAAUCCAAGAAAGAAAGAUCUGUUUGAUUCUUGAGCCAAUCCGGAAUUUUCCCUUCUAAGCCACAAGAACUAAGUGACAGAUGUGUUAACUUAGACUGUGGAAAGAUAGAACCAUUAUUGUUCCAUUGGAGUUUGUUUCCUCCGAGCCGCAGUUUCCUCAGCUUCUGAAGACGGAACAGCCAUGUGGGAAUCUCACCUGACAAGCCACUGUUAUUCUCAAGCUCAAGGGUUUCGAGAUUUGUUAGAUUUUGAAUUGACGAUGGAAUUCCACCGGAGAAAUUGUUCCUACUCAUAGACAGAGUUGAGAGAUUGACCAAGCUGCCAAUACCAUCUGGGAUCUUAAAGGACAUGAAAUUCAUCUGAAUAUUGAACGUUUCGAGCUUUGUUAACUGUGAUAUGGACAACGGUAUAGAACCAGAGAACUUGUUCUG
rnacentral:lncRNA from 1 species